GCGGGGGUGCCAGAGUGGACAAAUGGGCUGGGUUUAGGCCCCAGUGGCUUAGUGCCUACACAGGUUCGAAUCCUGUCCUCCGCA
rnacentral:tRNA from 1 species